rnacentral:pre_miRNA from 1 species
CGGUGCCGGCGAAGGCGCGGGUGGGGAGGCUGGGGAGCGCCAAUAAGGAGGGCAGUCAGCGCCCCGCCAGGGGCGAUGACCGCACCCGACGGCGCGCCCCAGCCUCCCCACCCGCGCCUUCGCCCCACAAGA